rnacentral:rRNA from 1 species
CUGCUGCCUUCCGUAGGAGUUUGGACCGUGUCUCAGUUCCAAUGUGGGGGACCUUCCUCUCAGAACCCCUACGCAUCGUCGCCUCGGUGGGCCGUUACCCCGCCGACUAGCUAAUGCGCCGCAUGCCCAUCCGCCACCGGGAUCGCUCCCUUUGACCCCCCAGGGAUGCCCCUAAAGGGUGUCAUGGGGUAUUAGGCGGCAUUUCUACCGGUUAUCCCCUCGUGACGGCCGACGGUUGGUCAUACGUGUUACUUCACCCGUCGCGCCGGUCGCCGGCGUGUUGG